rnacentral:rRNA from 1 species
GACGUAGGGUCCGAGCGUUGUCCGGAUUUACCGGGCGUAAAGAGCGCGUAGGCGGUCCGUUAAGUGUAGAGUGAAAGCUCCGGGCUCAACCCGGAAAUUGCUCUGCAUACUGGCGGACUCGAGGGUGGCAGAGGUUUGUGGAAUUCCUGGUGUAGCGGUGAAAUGCGUAGAUAUCAGGAGGAACACCCAUGGCGAAGGCAGCAAACUGGGCCACAUCUGACGCUGAGGCGCGAAAGCGUGGGUAGCAAACAGG